CGUCUGAUGUAGGCUUUAAUCUAACCUCUCUUGAAAUAUUCAAUAUACAGAUUUUUUUUUAUACUGUUAUAACUUUACAGUAGUGACAUGUUACGAAUAUUCCACGUUGCGAAUCGCAAAUGUCUUCUCAGCUGUAACUUACACUUGGCGUGCGUACGUGCUUCGGCGGAAAGUGACAAGGACUUUUCGGAGAAACUGGCUGAUGGCCCGCAAUUUGAGGACUUCCUCACGAACGAUGUCAAGAAGUAUAAUGGAAAAUUGAAAUUGGAAAAGGGCGAGUCGACGCGACUGAGGUUACCACCAUGGCUCAAAACGGAGAUACCUAUGGGCAAGAAUUACAGCAAGAUAAAAGCACAAUUGAGGCACUUGCGUUUGAGCACAGUCUGCGAGGAAGCUAGAUGCCCGAAUAUUGGGGAAUGCUGGGGUGGAGGUAGUCAUGGUACAGCAACUGCUACCAUUAUGUUGAUGGGAGACACGUGUACUCGUGGUUGCCGUUUUUGCUCUGUCAAAACUGCACGAACACCACCACCAUUGGAUACGGAGGAGCCAGUCAAUACUGCCAGUGCGAUAGCAGACUGGGGUUUAGACUAUGUUGUUUUAACAUCUGUCGAUCGCGAUGAUUUAAAAGAUGGCGGAGCUAGUCAUAUCGCAUCUACUGUCAAAGAGAUAAAGAAGAGGAGCAAUAUCUUGGUGGAAUGCCUGGUACCAGAUUUUAAAGGCGACGAAGAUUGCGUCGUCACGAUUGUCAAUUCCGGUUUAGACGUGUUCGCGCAUAAUAUUGAAACAGUGGAACGUUUGACUCCUUUUGUCCGAGAUAGACGCGCCCGGUACAGUGUCGUUUAUUAUAAUAGGCAGUCAUUGGCUGUGUUAAAAGCAGCUAAGAAGUUCAAUUCUAACUUGAUCACUAAAUCGUCGAUAAUGUUGGGCUUGAGUGAGACCGAUGAUGAAGUCGAGCAGACUAUGCGAGAUCUGCGGGACGCCGGUGUGGAUGCUCUAACGUUGGGACAGUACAUGCAACCUACCAAGAGGCAUUUAAAAGUCAUCGAAUACGUAACACCCGAGAAAUUCAAAUCAUGGGAAAAUAUGGGGAAUCAACUGGGUUUCUUGUAUACCGCCAGUGGUCCGCUAGUGCGAUCGUCAUAUAAGGCCGGAGAAUACUUCUUGAUGAAUAUUUUAAAACAACGGAAGAAGCAGAUUGGUGACUGCGAUAUGUCGAAGAUUUAAUGAAAGAAAGAUUUGUAGUCCGCUACAUAAGAAAGGAAAUUUAGAACUCGGAAAACGUAGUCGAAAAUUGUAUGUGAUAAAAUUUAUCACAUGGGGAGAGAAAAAUGUUAUAUCGCAAUUUAGCCAUAUAAAAUAAUCGAAUUCGAGCUGUAAAUAAACCUACGCGAUAGCAACUUGAGGUUCCUGCGGACCCUCAUCGGCAGGUGGAUCCUGCGGAGGUCUACUAUCAUCUUGCACACUCGGCUCUACAGGUCUG